UACGUAGGGUGCAAGCGUUUGUCCGGAAUCACUGGGCGUAAAGGGCGCGUAGGCGGCUCAUGAAGGCUGUGGUGAAAGUCCGGGGCUCAACCUCGGAUCGGCCGUGGCGACUCGUGGGCUGGAGCACUGUAGAGGCGGGUGGAAUUCCUGGUGUAGCGGUGAAAUGCGCAGAUAUCAGGAGGAACACCGGUGGCGAAGGCGGUUCUCUGGGCAAUUACCUGACGCUGGAGGAGCGAAAGUGUGGGGAGCGAAC
rnacentral:rRNA from 1 species